UACAGAGGGUGCGAGCGUUAAUCGGAGUUACUGGGCGUAAAGGGCGCGUAGGCGGUUGUGUAAGUGAGAUGUGAAAUCCCUGGGCUUAACCUAGGAACUGCAUCUUAUACUGCAUGGCUUGAGUACUGUAGAGGGUAGUGGAAUUUCCGGUGUAGCGGUGAAAUGCGUAGAGAUCGGAAGGAACACCAGUGGCGAAGGCGGCUACCUGGACAGAUACUGACGCUGAGGCGCGAAAGCGUGGGGAGCAAACAGG
rnacentral:rRNA from 1 species